AACGCACAUUGCGCCCUUUGGCAUUCCGAAGGGCAUGCCUGUUCGAGCGUCAUUAUCAACCCUCAAGCAUCGGCUUGGUAUUGAAACUUUAGGUCCGUCACGCGGACCGGUUCGAAAGAUAACGACGGUUGUCUAUGGGGCCCUCGAUGCAAUGAGCUCUCACCAGCACGCAUCAGAGCGGUCUUGUGGCCCGGUCUUUACCUAUAUUUUACAAGGUUGACCUCGGAUCAGGUAGGAAUACCCGCUGAACUUAA
rnacentral:misc_RNA from 1 species